rnacentral:rRNA from 1 species
AGGAAGGCUCUUGGGUUGUAAACCUCUUUUCUCAAGGAAUAAGUACUGAAGGUACUUGAGGAAUCAGCAUCGGCUAACUCCGUGCCAGCAGCCGCGGUAAUACGGAGGAUGCAAGCGUUAUCCGGAAUGAUUGGGCGUAAAGCGUCCGCAGGUGGCUGUGUAAGUCUGCUGUUAAAGAGUGAGGCUCAACCUCAUAAAAGCAGUGGAAACUACACAGCUAGAGUGCGUUCGGGGCAGAGGGAAUUCCUGGUGUAGCGGUGAAAUGCGUAGAGAUCAGGAAGAACACCGGUGGCGAAGGCGCUCUGCUAGGCCGCAACUGACACUGAGGGACGAAAGCUAGGGGAGCGAAUGGGAUUAGAUACCCCAGUAGUCCUAGCCGUAAACGAUGGAUACUAGGCGUUGCGAGUAUCGACCCUCGCAGUGCCGGAGCCAACGCGUUAAGUAUCCCGCCUGGGGAGUACGCACGCAAGUGUG